rnacentral:lncRNA from 1 species
AAAAGCUUAAAGAAGCGCUUGAUGUGAUCUGCAAAUCAUAUGUGGAAAGAAGUUUACAUUUAGAGGAAGUGUUGAAAGUUAAUGCAACUUCUAAAUCCAAACUUAUCCUAUAAAAGAUAUUUUCUAGGGAAGAUUCUAGUAUAUAAAAUAAAGAAAUAGGAUAUUAUCUAGAAGACUAGAUAUUCUACAUGAACAUUCUAGCUAUUAGAUAUUUGUAAAAUUAAUGGCAAGGAGACAUGUGUUAACAAUCCAA